AACGUAGGAGACAACCGUUAUCCGGAGUUACUGGGCGUAAAGGGCGUGUAGGUGGUUUCGUAAGUCUGGCGUGAAAUUUCUCGGCUUAACCGAGGCAGGUCGUCGGAUACUGCGGAACUAGAGGACGGUAGAGGCGUGUGGAAUUCCGGGUGUAGUGGUGAAAUGCGUAGAGAUCCGGAGGAACACCAGUGGCGAAGGCGACACGCUGGGCCGUACCUGACACUGAGGCGCGAUAGCAUGGGGAGCAAACAGG
rnacentral:rRNA from 1 species